CCCCCCCCGCGGCGGCGCGCAGCUCCUCCCCGCGCGCCGUCCUGCUCCCCCGCGCGCACCCCGGGGCGGUGAGAGGAGAGAGUACGGGCGGUGUUGGACGCGCCGUUCCGGGACGAGCGGGUACCGCCGAUUUCUGGGUACCCCGCGGUUCCGCAUUUGCGCAGAAUAUUCCGUUCCGGAACCGAUCCGUUCCAUCUCGUCCAGCAACCAAACAACCCAAAAAGUGGGAUGGAACGGUUCCGUUCCACCCGAUCCCUCAAACCAAACACACCCUUACUGCAGAAUACAGAUCCAGGUCCAAAGCGCACACGCCCUCAAGAGAGAAGAACACGCGGGCGUCCUCAAGCAUCAUCGUCUGGCUCCGGGUCGACUCCAGCUGCUGGUCAGCAUCCUCGGCGGAUCCUUGCGGCAGCUUGGCCAGUAGCUCAGUUUUGCAAAGACCUGCCCAGAAACUCGUAAGAGAGCACGCAUGGCAUAUGAUCUGCAAAUUCGUAGAAAUUCUUUUGUUUUUAUACAUAAUGAUUAAAUGAGCCCCUAUCGGCCCACAUGCAUCUGGCUUACUGGCCCCUGUCAGCUAGCCCACGGGCCACGGCCCGCAGGCCUGCUUGGCACCAACGCGGCCGACGUCACUUCUGGCGACCGGUCGGCUUGGGCUGGCCAAUAGGCCCAUUAACAUUUGCUAAGAUAACUAUUUACUGUUAGUCAUGUUUGAAACUGAAUUUCAAUCUCUAAACGUUGAUGAACAUUGAACAUAUACUAAAAAAAUGGGACAUGUACACCUUAUUAUAACACACACUUGUACACUUUUGUAGCAAUUGGAGGUAUUUAACUAGUUGAAUCUGAGGGGGAGAAGUGGGUAAUUGAAAUGUAAUUUCAGCACAUAUAGUUGAGCAUAAUACUUAAGCCUGUUUCAAUUAAUAAUACAAAUUCUAUAGCACCAACUGGAGUACAAAUAGAAAAUAGACACAUCAUAUAACUCCCUACUGAGUUUAGAGGUAACUAAAGCUCGUUCGCUAUCUAUUUUGGACAGUUAAAAGAGGGAAAAUAUACACGCGCUUAAACCGGGAUGAUGGGGGCCGUCGAUUGCUUGUGUGGACAUCAAUAUGUCCACUUGUCGUCCAGGGCUUGUCAGGCAUGGGUUGGCCGACAAGGGUCCUAUUUAUGCAAUCCAUUUUGCCAUCUGCUUUUGCUUGUUUUUAGAAUAACCAGAUCACUUGAAAACAAAAAAACUAAAUUCUUAGACAUCAUUUCUGGAAGACAGUGGUUUAUGUUUAUCCAUGGAUUUUGGGAGCUCAUCUCUUGCUUUCAAAUUAUAUUCAGAGCAAUUGAUUCUAUCUUUGUACCGUAAGUGUCCUAUUUUUUUUGUGUUGGGACUUGGAAGAUUUCAAUUGUUUGUAAAUUGCUGGUACAAAUUUAUCACUUUAUAUCUUUCAUUCAGUGGUUCCACUUUUAUAUCUGGAAUUUCUCAUAGCCUUCAUCUUCGAGAAUUUAAUCAGAAGCAGUUUGCAGAGAAAUAAUAAUUGCAAUAGAAGAGAAGACUCUCCAUUACCAAACUACUACAUCUUAAGUUUUUUUUUAUAAUUGAUAAACUGUUAUGUGUCAUUGCAUCGAAACAGUUUCUACCACAAGUUCAGAGCAAAUUGUGAGGGGAAAACUGUCCUUUUGUCAGAAGGGAAAUCAGACUGUGUAGGAAAUGGAAGAAAUUGAGCAGGAAAAUACAAAUUGUGCACGCCUGCCAGCUAUUUCCUCUUCCUAAAAAAUGACAUCGAUGGAAAUAUACCAAGAGUAAGCAUCAAAGCUUCAUCUAUGCGAACAGAUGUGAAGCUUUGAAAAUUUUGUCUGCAGGGAGGAAAAAAAAUCAAACACAAGAACUCAAAGUUGCCUCAUUCAAAUGAACAAAUGAAAUACUAGUAUAAGGCCUGGGACAGAGCGGAGACAUCUAGCCUAAUUUUGUCGGCGGAGAUUGAUGACCAAAUAUUUCACGGAAGGAUUUCAGUGCAGGAUUAGUUCAACUGCCCUAAUUUAUUGCCAUACUGUUCUCAUGAUCGACCGGGCAAAGCCUUUUCCGUAUAAGAAGCUUCCACAAUUAUCUGUAAGAAGAUGCAGCAUGAGCGCACAGGUCAGCAGGACGACCUGCUACACUGAGAUGUUGACGUUCCUGCUGCUGAAAUGGACCCGUCUGGAAUUCACACUUUUCUUUUUCUUGCGAGGGCGUAUGGAAUUCAUCUUGAUCUAGUAAGAACUGAAAAUGCUCCUCUGCAUUAUGGAUGACUUGUUUCUACUACUGGUAAGCCCCGGUGAAAACAUGGCACAUGAAUUCAGACUACUUGUAGUAGAACACCCGGUCGUGCAUUUGGCUGUCCAUCUUUUUUUUUGCCAACUCCUGAUGAAUCUUCUCAGGAAAAGGGUCCUGCAAUACUUCUUUAUAAUUGUAUACAUUGAUUGGUUAAUUGAUUUGAAGUGCCUGCAUCAACAACUGCUACUGGUUGCAGUUACCAAUCAAAAGCACAUGGUGUUGGGACUCUUCUGUACGGCACUUGAGAUGUGUAGUUCUCAGCAAAACAAAUUGAUGUGCGACAUCAUUUCUGAAUAAACGUAUUUUCUCUAAUCUAAAAAUGUAUUCUCUCUGAUUUUCAAUUGUUUCAGAACCGGCAACGAUUCAUGAAUUUAAUCUGAGCUAUAAACAUCAUUCGGAAUGAAAACAAUUCAUGUAUUAUCUGCCGAAUUUGGGGCUCUAUCCAGGUUCGUCAACAUUUCAAGUGAUCCACAUCUUUCCUUCGUACAGGUUCAUGGUAUGGAUGUAACGGAAGCAUUUCAGUGUAGGAUGAGUUCAAACUGCCAUACUGUCGUCUUGACCAGGCAUGUGGCCUUUUUCGUGUAAGAAGCUUCCCCGAAUGGAUCAUCUAAGAAGAUGAUGCUACCAAGCAGAGUGCAGAUGUCAGCAAGACGACCUGCUGCACUGAUUCUACUUGACGAAUCGAACAUGAUUAGUAUGCAACUGAAGGUGAUAGAUGCUGUUCCCAAUGGUAGAUGUUGACAAUACUGCUGCUGAAACGGACCCGUGCGUGUGGAAAUAUUCAUGUAGGAUCUGAACAUGAUCCUCUCCAUUUUGGAUCUUGGACUUGUUCCAGUGAAUGAGAAAAACAAAUAAAGCACAUGAUUUAACUUUUAAGACAAGUUCAAGCAGAUUA